rnacentral:rRNA from 1 species
GACGUAGGGCGCGAGCGUUGUCCGGAUUUAUUGGGCGUAAAGAGCUCGUAGGCGGCUUGUUGCGUCGACUGUGAAAACCCGCGGCUUAACCGCGGGCUUGCAGUUGAUACGGGCAGGCUAGAGUUCGGUAGGGGAGACUGGAAUUCCUGGUGUAGCGGUGAAAUGCGCAGAUAUCAGGAGGAACACCGGUGGCGAAGGCGGGUCUCUGGGCCGAUACUGACGCUGAGGAGCGAAAGCGUGGUGAGCGAACAGG